rfam:Cyanothece sp. PCC 8801, complete genome.
CUUUCAACCUACCCCUUAUCGGGAUGGCGGUUGAAAC